rnacentral:lncRNA from 1 species
UCUUCUUCGGAAGGCUUGUCUUCAUCCUUCUCAUUGUUUUGGUUCAAAAAGCAAUUUCCUGAUUCAGGAUAAGUAGCCUUAGGAGUACUUGAGGUGCUAGACUCGUUGCCUUCUGACGACUUCUUCUGAUCCCUCUCAUUCUCUUGGUCUAGAGGAGCUGCAUUAUGACUCGAGCUGCUAGAUUUCUCUUCUUCGGAAGGCUUGUCUUCAUCCUUCUCAUUGUUUUGGUUCGAAAAGCAAUUUCCUGAUUCAGGAUAAGUAGCCUUAGGAGUACUUGAGGUGCUAGACUUGUUGCCUUCUGACGACUUCUUCUGAUCCCUCUCAUUCUCUUGGUCUAGAGGAGCUGCAUUAUGACUCAAGCUGCUAGAUUUCUCUUCUUCGAAAGGCUUGUCUUCAUCCUUCUCAUUGUUUUGGUUUGAAAAGCAAUUUCCUGAUUCAGGAUAAGUAGCCUUAGGAGUACUUGAGGUGCUAGACUCGUUGCCUUCUGAUGACUUCUUCUGAUCCCUCUCAUUCUCUUGGUCUAGAGGAGCUGCAUUAUGACUCGAGCUGCUAGAUUUCUCUUCUUCGAAAGGCUUGUCUUCAUCCUUCUCAUUGUUUUGGUUCGAAAAGAAAUUUCCUGAUUCAGGAUAAGUAGCCUUAGGAGUACUUGAGGUGCUAGACUCGUUGCCUUCUGACGACUUCUUCUGAUCCCUCUCAUUCUCUUGGUCUAGAGGAGCUGCAUUAUGACUUGAGCUGCUAGAUUUCUCUUCUUCGAAAGGCUUGUCUUCAUCCUUCUCAUUGUUUUGGUUUGAAAAGCAAUUUCCUGAUUCAGGAUAAGUAGCCUUAGGAGUACUUGAG